UAUGUAUUGACGUUCGUAUUCUGUUAAAAUAAGAUCUCACUGCACCAUUAGUUGCUAUUGACAUGUACCCAUUCAUAAGCCCCGGCAAAUGUCAACAGGGAUACUCCCAUGCGACUGGCUGCUUGCCAGACGGGCAGACUGGCAACUGACUACCGACUACCGACUAGCGACUACGGACUACUGGAAACUGGCUGGCGGCGCUAAUGAAUACAGUUCUCACUUACUUGUCCACCACCAGCUUGCGGAUGUUUGCGAAUGAAAUUCAACACGGAGUCCGGCAGCGUGGCGGUGUCGUUGUGGCAAGUUCCCGGACGUGGCUCCGGCACUUUGGAGUUCAGCACGGGCAGCCAGGCGCUGUUCGAGGUGGCC